GAUCAUGGCUCAGGAUGAACGCUAGCUACAGGCUUAACACAUGCAAGUCGAGGGGCAGCAUUUUAGUUUGCUUGCAAACUGAAGAUGGCGACCGGCGCACGGGUGAGUAACACGUAUCCAACCUGCCGAUAACUCCGGAAUAGCCUUUCGAAAGAAGAUUAAUACCGGAUAGCAUACGAAUAUCGCAUGAUUAUUUUUUAUUAAAGAAUUUCGGUUAUCGAUGGGAUGCGUCCAUUAG
rnacentral:rRNA from 1 species